rnacentral:misc_RNA from 1 species
UCGUGACCUGACCAAAACAGACCGCGCACGCGUCAUCCAGCCUGCCGGCGACGGCACCGUUCGUUGCUUGGCCAAGUCCUCGACAACCUCCUCUCCUCGGAGUGGGGGCUCGGGGUAAAAGAACCCACGGCGCCAAGGGCGUCAAGGAACACUGUGCCUAGCCCGGGGACGUGGCUGGCUUGCUGGCCGCCCCCCGUGCUGCAAUGCUAUUUAAUCCACACGACUCUCGGCAACGGAUAUCUCGGCUCUCGCAUCGAUGAAGAACGUAGCGAAAUGCGAUACCUGGUGUGAAUUGCAGAAUCCCGCGAACCAUCGAGUCUUUGAACGCAAGUUGCGCCCGAGGCCAUUUGGCCGAGGGCACGCCUGCCUGGGCGUCACGCCAAACACGCUCCCACCCCCUCAUCGGGGAGCGGGAUGCGGCAAAUGUGGCCCCCCGUCACGCAAGUGGCGGUGGGCCGAAGAUAUGGCUGCCGGCGUAUCGUGCCGGACACAGCGCGUGGUGGGCGACCUCGCUUUACUUACCGCAGUGCAUCCGGUGCGUAGCCGACUUGAUGGCCUUGAAGGACCCUGUGAACGGAGCGGACGAUGCUUCGACC